rnacentral:rRNA from 1 species
GAGGCAGCAGUGGGGAAUAUUGGACAAUGGGCGAAAGCCUUGAUCCAGCCAUGCCGCGUGUGUGAAGAAGGUCUUCGGAUUGUAAAGCACUUUAAGUUGGGAGGAAGGGCAGUAAAUUAAUACUUUGCUGUUUUGACGUUACCGACAGAA